rnacentral:rRNA from 1 species
CUACGGAGGGUCCAAGCGUUAUCCGGAAUCAUUGGGUUUAAAGGGUCCGCAGGCGGUCAAUUAAGUCAGAGGUGAAAGCCCAUCGCUCAACGAUGGAACUGCCUUUGAUACUGGUUGACUUGAGUUAUACGGAAGUAGAUAGAAUAAGUAGUGUAGCGGUGAAAUGCAUAGAUAUUACUUAGAAUACCGAUUGCGAAGGCAGUCUACUACGCAUAUACUGACGCUGAGGGACGAAAGCGUGGGGAGCGAACAGGAUUAGAAACCCCAGUAGUCC